rnacentral:rRNA from 1 species
GAUGAACGCUGGCGGCGUGCCUAAUACAUGCAAGUCGAGCGAACGGACGAGAAUCUUGCUUCUCUGAUGUUAGCGGCGGACGGGGGAGUAACACGUGGAUAACCUACCUAUAAGACUGGGAUAACUUCGGGAAACCGUAGCUUAUACCGGAUAAUAUUUUGAACCGCAUGGUUCAAAAGUGAAAGACGGUCUUGCUGUCACUUAUAGAUGGAUCCGCGCUGCAUUAGCUAGUUGGUAAGGUAACGGCUUACCAAGGCAACGAUGCAUAGCCGACCGGAGAGGGUGAUAGGCGACACUGGAACUGAGACGGGGUCCAGACUACUACGGGAGGCAGCAGUAGGGAAUCUUCGGCAAUGGGCGAAAGCCUGACGGAGCAACGGCGCGUGAGUGAUGAAGGUCGUCGGAUCGUAAAACUCUGUUAUUAGGGAAGAACAUAUGUGUAAGUAACUGUGCACUUCUUGACGGUAACUAAUCAGAAAGCCACGGCUAACUACGUG